UACGAAGGGUGCGAGCGCUAUUCGGAAUGAUUGGGCGUACAGGGUGCGCAGGCGGUAUAUUAAGUCAACUGUUAAAUUUCCCAGCCUAACUGGGAACCAGCGGUAGAUACUGGUAUACUAGAGGAUGGAAGAGAGAAGUGGAAUUCUUGGAGUAGCGGUAAAAUGCGUAGAUCUCAAGAGGAACACCGAUGGCGAAGGCAGCUUCUUGGUCCAUACCUGACGCUCAUGCACGAGAGCGUGGGGAGCAAACAGG
rnacentral:misc_RNA from 1 species